rnacentral:rRNA from 1 species
GUGUUUUAAUUGGAUUCUGGUAUGAAUGGUUGGAUGAGGAAUUUACUUUCUUUGAUUUAUUUUAAAAAUUUAACUUCUAAGUCAAAAGGCUUAGAUGAUAUUGUAGGACGAGAAGACCCUAUAGAGCUUUAUUAUAAAAGUGGAAUGAUUUUUGGAAAAUAUAUUUUUGUUUUAGGAAUUAUAAUUUUGUUGGGGUGACAAAAAAAAAAUUAUAACUUUUUUUAUUUAUUUCAUUUAUAGAUGAAUAUUUGACCCUUUUUUAUGGGAAAAAAGAUCAAGCUACCUUAGGGAUAACAGCGUUAUUAUUUUGGAGAGUUCAUAUUGAUAAAAUAGUUUGCGACCUCGAUGUUGAAUUAAAAAUGGUUUUAGGAGUAGAAGAUUAAUUGACUGGGUCUGUUCGACCUUUAAAUUUUUACA